AGAAAAAGAAAAAAAGCAGCAUGAAUCAAAAAUCCAAUGGAAGUGAGUGAAAAGUCCAACAAAUACCAAGAACUUGGCUCUCAGAUAUUAGUGCAUUAUUUGGUGCACUGGUUCCAUCUGCUGGACAGGAUUAAAACUGAUGAAUUCUGAAAGGACUAGCUCAUAGACUGUCAUAAUUCAAUCAAGGGAAGACAACAUUAAGAUAAAACAUAGACUCUGUCUUCUGGAAGGAAAGUAGGCUCAGAGGGUGAAACUAGGGGUGAGGAUAGAGAGGAGCUAAUGAUAACUCUGCCUAACAAAAGAAGCAAAGAAAGAUGGAUGAUUAUUUAAGUAUUUUUAAUGAAUACAAGAAAACAGUUGGAAGUUUUCCACUUCCACAAGUGGAAGCACAACAAAGAAAACACUCUUGAAAAUAACAUGUUGAAUUUAUUAUGUACUUUUUAAAAGUAA